AACGAACGCUGGCGGCAGGCCUAACACAUGCAAGUCGAACGUGAAGCCACCUUCGGGUGGUGGAAAGUGGCAGACGGGUGAGUAACGCGUGGGAACGUGCCUUUCGGUUCGGGAUAACCCAGGGAAACUUGGGCUAAUACCGGGUACGCCCUUCGGGGGAAAGAUUCAUUGCCGAAAGAUCGGCCCGCGUCGGAUUAGCUAGUUGGUGGGGUAAAAGCCUACCAAGGCGACGAUCCGUAGCUGGUCUGAGAGGAUGACCAGCCACACUGGGACUGAGACACGGCCCAGACUCCGACGGGAGGCAGCAGUGGGGAAUAUUGGACAAUGGGCGCAAGCCUGAUCCAGCCAUGCCGCGUGGGUGAAGAAGGCCCUAGGGUUGUAAACCCCUUUCAGCGGGGAAGAUAAUGACGGUACCCGCAGAAGAAGCCCCGGCUAACUCCGUGCCAGCCGCCGCCGUAAAAC
rnacentral:rRNA from 1 species